ensembl:snRNA U6 U6 spliceosomal RNA
AUGCUCACUUUGACAACAUAUAUACUAAAAUUGGAAUAAUAUGGAGAUUAGCACAUGCCCUAUGCAAGGCUGACAUACAAAUGUGUGAGUCAUUCCAUAUUUUU